AUUGAACGCUGGCGGCAGGCCUAACACAUGCAAGUCGAACGAGUGGCGGACGGGUGAGUAAUGCCUGGGAAACUGCUCGAUGGAGGGGGAUAACUACUGGAAACGGUAACUAAUACCGCAUACCCUCGGAUGUGCCCCGAUGGGAUUAGCUAGUAGGUGGGGUAACUGCUCACCUAGGCGACGAUCCCUAGCUGGUCUGAGGGGAUGACCAGCCACACUGGAACUGAGACACGGUCCAGACUCCUAGGGGAGGAAGCAGUGGGGAAUAUUGCACAAUGGGCGCAAGCCUGAUGCAGCCAUGCCGCUUGUAUGAAGAAGGCCUUCGGUUUGUAAAGUACGUUCAGCGAGGAGGCGGUACUCGCAGAAGAAGCACCGGCUAACUCCGUGCCAGCAGCCGCGGUAAUAC
rnacentral:rRNA from 1 species